UUUGGAACUGAUAUCAGGCAAGAUUACCCGCUGAACUUAAGCAA
rnacentral:rRNA from 1 species